AGCUUUUACUGCAUAUAAAGAAUCUGUAAUGUAUCUUUCGAAUGCAAAAAGCUGCAUCAAGCUACAAAGGCACCUUUUCGGCAAUACACACUCACUAUCAAUUAGUGAAGAAUUAUGCACUUGUCCAGAAGCGGAAUAACUAGAAAUAGCUUCAUUAUUAAAAUAUUUUCAUUAGAGAGAGUUUACUCUCAUGAAUUUCUGUAUUUUCAGCCCUAUGAAAUAUUUCCAACUACUUGAUAAAAAUUGAAUUAAAGAUGAUGUUUCUCUUUCUAUCUAGAGUGCAAAUUAUAUUAAAAUAAUUCAUGGAUAAAUUGAAUAUGCAGUGAUAUUGCAUAAUUUUUGCUGUUUUACAGAACAUCACAAUUCAAUGGUGCAUGAAACGAGCGGAGCUUAUUCUCAAGUGUGUCAAAGGCUUCAUGAUGGAAGGGCUCUGCUGGGACGGAGACGAUUCAAGAACAAUUCAAUUCAUCGUGCCAGAGGGAAUUUCAGAAGAUCUGUUCUCCUCUUUUACAAACAUGCUGCCGAAUGUCUUCCGGGUGUCUACUCCAUUGGAUCUCUCUGGUAUAGCACGUGAUUGAUCAUCCUACCUUGCCUGAAUUUAUGCAAAAUGUGAAGCAUUCUCCAAACGACAGACCUUAAAUGGAUUUUUACGGUUGAUUUUGUUUUAAAAAUAGUCAUGUGCUUGGGUAUUUUCAACUAGUAUGGUUCAUAAGCACUUUUUCAAAAUCAAAAUCAGGCAUAUUUAUCGAAUGUUAAGAUGAUAGACUCCUUAAUAAUUUUCAAAAAUGUAAUGAUAAUGUCCAAUAAGUUUUGAAAAGUAUGAUACUUCGAAUGUUAAAAGUCUUUAAAUAGUUUGAAAAAAUUAUUUUUAAUUAGAGCUUCGAAGCGAAAGUAGAAUGUUGAUUUCGCAUAUAAAAUUUGUGUUUGCGUGAUCUCUUUUCGGAGGUUUUGCUAUUGAUCGAACUGCAAGCUACAAUUUUGAAUUCAGCAGUUCAUGUUUAUGUUAUGUGUUUAUUUUACGUGUUUAUGUUACAUGUUUAUUUGUUUGUUUCUUUGUUUAUUGAUUGAUUGAUUGAUUGAUUGGUUGAUUGAUUGAUUGAUUAAUUGAUUGAUUGAUUGAUUGAUUGAUUAAUUGAUUGAUUGAUUGAUUGAUUGAUUGAUUGAUUGAUUGAUUGAUCGAUCUAGGCGAUUGUUUGCUUGAUUGAUUGUGAAAAGGUAGCCUGGGGACAAAAUGAUUAAACAUUCGUUUAAGACAUACUCAUUAUUAUGAAAUUCUUCUCAAGAAGAGGAAAGUUAAGAAUAUUAAUUUGAAUCACGUGUGUCCAUCACUCA